UACUUCCAGUCAUGGCUCAAAUAGAGUCGUUACAAUCUCAAUGCAGGCAACGCUGCAAGAAGCUAGGAGGAUCAGACAAUGCAAGAGGAAGAAGCAUGCUGCGCGCAGAUAUGAGCCGCAUAGUUUGUCAAUCUAUUAACAUGCCGAAUUUCAAAAGAAGUGAAAACCGACACUAGCUGCUGGACAUCGUCGAAGGUUGCAGCAAUUUCUGAACGUUGGUUCCUUCUAAUUUGCCAUGGCGAAACCAGCUCCAAAGAAUCAGAUUCAAUAACGAUCUUCUCUUGUGUAGCUUCUGGUAUUAGCUGCACUCUGUCCCUAAGUGCAUCUACUUCCGUCGGAGAGCUGAACCUAUAUAUCGAGUUCAUCCAUAGAGCUGAAGCUGCCCGAAAGCGUCCAUCACUCCCCGUAGCACACCACCCCGUCGCUCCCGCUGCAAGAAGCUAGUUUCAAGGUAUCUUACUCCGGUGGCAGCCAUCUCACAGCCUGUUGUGUGUCUCUUUGCUACUGCAGAUGGGGGUGGAGAGCUGAGCACAGGCCUCCAGAGCCCAUUUCACAGCUAUGCCUGGAUCAAUGGGAACCUUACCGUGUCUUCAGUCAAUCUGGCUAAGCCAUAGCGACCACAUUCCACAAAGAAUUACAACUCUAUCAUCCUCUUACUUGCAGAAAAAAUUUCUUGAACAGUCCAUGUUUUUGGCAUAAUCAGGGAAAUUUGAUGCACGUAAGAGACCGAAGCUUUUCCUAGAAAAUUGUAGCUAAAGUGCACUAUGUGAGGGCAUGAAAGGUAGUUUCAUCUUCCUUCCUUUCCGCAAAACUCACAUAUCCCUAUUGCUUCGAUGUACUUCCAAUGGAGAUUUGCUCAACAAGGGAUAAAAUCAUCAGAUACUUUCCACCAGAACACUCUCACCUUCAGUGGAAUUUUGCAUUUUCAGAGUUUAAGCCAAUGGGGGUCAUUGUUCGCAACCGAGUGCGCAGCCCGGCCUUCCCCAUGAACUUGUUUCUUGUUCCAGCAGGCCGAGCGAACAGAAGCCAUGUUGUUCCCUAAACCAUGCCCAGGAAUCACUGUCGCUGACCUAAAGGUGUUUGUUUGAUGCAGACAUGCAGUACUAGUCUAUAGGACAAAUACUUUGGAUUUUUGCAGCGGCAGCUGUUGUAGCCAAAUCAGUGCAGCCAUCAGAGCGUGGCGUAUGAUAAUUUUAUUUUGUACAUUUCCAUCUGGACAUAGUAGAAUGCACGAGCGUGGCGUAUGAUAAUUUUUUGUACAUUUCCAUCUGGACAUAGUAUAGAACGCACAGCUCAAGCGCUGGCGUAUGAUUUUUCUUUUCUGAAA